rnacentral:misc_RNA from 1 species
CGCAUAUUGCACCUUAGAGUAUUCUUUAAGGUAUACUUGUUUGAGCGUCGUUUAAAAUCAUAAAGCUUUGCUUUUUGUUAGAUUUUGGUUGAUUUUUUCAAACCAACUUCUUAAACAGAUUGGCGUUAUUUUGUUAGCCGAGACACAGUGAAAAUGUGUGCCAAGUUGAUAAAAUAUACUUGCCAGUUAAACAUAUAUCAAUUGUUCGACCUCAAAUCAAGUAAGGCUACCCGCUGAACUUAA